rnacentral:lncRNA from 1 species
AAUGCGGUAGCGCGGGGAAUUUCGAGUGGUGUUGGAGCGCCGGAGGCUAGUGGGUGGCUGACCCCCAGCAUCCUCGGGAGCGACCAUGGACUCCCUGGCCGAGUCUCGGUGGCCUCCGGGCCUGGCAGUCAUGAAGACAAUAGAUGAUUUGCUGCGGUGUGGAAUUUGCUUCGAGUAUUUCAACAUUGCAAUGAUAAUACCUCAGUGUUCACAUAACUACUGUCACAGAGCCGGAUCUGAAAAAUAACCGCAUAUUAGAUGAACUGGUAAAAAGCUUGAAUUUUGCACGGAAUCAUCUGCUGCAGUUUGCUUUAGAGUCACCAGCCAAAUCUCCUGCUUCUUCCUCUUCAAAGAAUCUUGCUGUCAAAGUAUAUACUCCUGUAGCCUCCAGACAGUCUUUAAAGCAGGGGAGCAGGUUAAUGGAUAAUUUCUUGAUCAGAGAAAUGAGUGGUUCUACAUCAGAGUUGUUGAUAAAAGAAAAUAAAAGCAAAUUCAGCCCUCAAAAAGAGGCGAGCCCUGCUGCAAAGACCAAAGAGACACGUUCUGUAGAAGAGAUCGCUCCA